rnacentral:rRNA from 1 species
UUCCGGUUGAUCCCGCCGGACCCGACUGCUAUUUGGGUGAGAAUAAGCCAUGCGAGUUGAAUGGGAUACCUAAAGUUCCCAUAGCAAACUGCUCAGUAACACAUGAUCAACUUACCCUAUAGAGAAAAAUAACCUCGGGAAACUGAGGAUAAUGUUUCAUAAUUGAAUUGGCUUGGAAAAGUUUUUCAAUGAAAAGGAUAAAAAAAAUGGUUUUUAUCUGCUAUAGGAUAGGAUCGUGUUCGAUUAUGGUUGUUGGUGAGAUAAUGGCUCACCAAGCCGAUAAUCGAUAGGGGCCGUGAGAGCGGGAGCCCCGAGAUGGGUACUGAGACAACGACCCAGGCCUUACGAGGCGCAGCAGGCGCGGAACCUCCGCAAUACACGAAAGUGUGACGGGGUUACCCAAAGUGUUCAAUAGAACUGUGGUAGGUGAGUAAUGUUCCCUACUAGAAAGGAGAGGGCAAGGCUGGUGCCAGCCGCCGCGGUAAAACCAGCUCUUCAAGUGGUCGGGAUAAUUAUUGGGCUUAAAGUGUCCGUAGCCGGUUUAGUAAGUUCCUGGUAAAAUCGGGUAGCUUAACUAUCUGCAUGCUAGGAAUACUGCUAUACUAGAGGGCGGGAGAGGUCUGAGGUACUACAGGGGUAGGGGUGAAAUCUUAUAAUCCUUGUAGGACCACCAGUGGCGAAGGCGUCAGACUGGAACGCGCCUGACGGUGAGGGACGAAAGCCAGGGGAGCGAACCGGAUUAGAUACCCGGGUAGUCCUGGCCGUAAACGAUGCAUACUAGGUGAUGGUACGGCCAUGAGCCGUAUCAGUGCCGUAGGGAAACCGUUAAGUGUGCCGCCUGGGAAGUACGGUCGCAAGGCUAAAACUUAAAGGAUUGGCGGGGGAGCACCACAAGGGGUGAAGCCUGCGGGUUCAAUUGGAGUCAACGCCGGGAAUCACUAGUGCGGCCG